ACACAAAUUAUUACCAACAUCUAAGCGGCAAAAGGAACAUACACUUUUAACAUCUCUGGAUAUAACACUGCUGAAUGGGAAGACUAAACAAAAGAUCACCAUGGAGCCACACGAUAUGUAUAUUGGAUGGUCUGCAACAUUCUGACACAAACCAUACUCAUACUGUCGAAAAGCAUUAAUUUGUUUUGAGAUACGAACCACUGGAUUACCCGUCUAUUAUCAUCCAGACAGAGAGGAGGCGUUGGAGGGGAAGUAAAACGACGCAGCCCGUGCAAUAGGUCAAAUGUUGGGCGAAAAACGAAAUUGAGGUGAUUAAAAUUGUGCCCAAAAUCGGCGUAACUGGGCGGCGUUAUUUGAACAGUUCACAAUAGUGUUUGCAGCUUCUGCUUCGCUGGUAACACAGUUCAUCCUGUGUUAUAUUUUGGGAAAAUAUGGAAAA